GUGAUGUUAAAACUUAAAACACACCAUUAUACACUAAACAUCUGCCUGAAAAACAAUUAGUUCUAAACAAUUUUGUUUUGCAGGUACUUCAAAUUAGUCUUUGAUAGAGGUCUUAUAAGAGUCUAUCAUGAUUGUUUCCAAUGGGUU